rnacentral:lncRNA from 1 species
GCUCCGCGGAAACCAUAGCAACGGGCAGCCGGAAGAUGCGGCCAUUCCUCUCCCUUUUGUCCAUUGCAUUUCAGCAGCGCCCGCGCACAUGGACGCUCCAAUUACAGCUCUAGAGGCUAGAAAUUGGCAGUCAGGAUGUGUGUAAGGCCACGCUCCCUCUGAAGACUCCAGGGGAGGAUCUUUCCUUGCCUCCUCCAGCUUCUGGUGGCUGCCAGCAUCCUUGGCAUUCCUUGGCCUGUGGACACAUCACUCUCAUCUCUGCCCAUGGUCACAACCCCAAGCUCCAGAAUACAGACCAGCAGGCGAGGAGACAAGGAGGCAAGCAGAUGGAUGGUGGAACAAAGUGGCAGAGAAAGAGAGAAGAGGAGAGAUGUCUGGACGCCAAGAGGAGUCUGGCUGGGGCCAGUCAGAGAAGAGUCCAGCGGCUGGGCAGCCCGACUCCAGGGGAAGAUCACCUUCCCACUCCAUCCCCCUUCACGCUCCCCAUCCAUCUCACUAAGAGCCAUCUCUACCACUCAAUAAAACCUUGCAUUCA